rnacentral:rRNA from 1 species
UGCCGGUGACAAACCGGAGGAAGGUGGGGAUGACGUCAAAUCAUCAUGCCCCUUAUGAUUUGGGCUACACACGUGCUACAAUGGACAAUACAAAGGGCAGCGAAACCGCGAGGUCAAGCAAAUCCCAUAAAGUUGUUCUCAGUUCGGAUUGUAGUCUGCAACUCGACUACAUGAAGCUGGAAUCGCUAGUAAUCGUAGAUCAGCAUGCUACGGUGAAUACGUUCCCGGGUCUUGUACACACCGCCCGUCACACCACGAGAGUUUGUAACACCCGAAGCCGGUGGAGUAACCUUUUAGGAGCUAGCCGUCGAAGGUGGGACAAAUGAUUGGGGUGAAGUCGUAACAAGGUAGCCGUAUCGGAAGGUGCGGCUGGAUCACCUCCUUU